rnacentral:rRNA from 1 species
UACGGAGGGUGCAAGCGUUAUCCGGAUUUACUGGGUUUAAAGGGUGCGUAGGCGGGCCAUUAAGUCAGUGGUGAAAGCUCCGAGCUUAACUCGGAAACUGCCAUUGAUACUAUUGGUCUUGAAUUCGGUCGAGGUUGGCGGAAUGUGUCGUGUAGCGGUGAAAUGCUUAGAUAUGACACAGAACACCCGAUUGCGAAGGCAGCUAGCUAGACCGACAUUUGACGCUGAGGCACGAAAAGCGUGGGGGAUCAAAACAGG